rnacentral:rRNA from 1 species
AGUUCGGACUGCAGGCUGCAACUCGCCUGCACGAAGCUGGAAUUGCUAGUAAUCGCGGAUCAGCAUGCCGCGGUGAAUACGUUCCCGGGCUUUGUACACACCGCCCGUCAAACCAUGAAAGUUGGGAACACCCGAAGUCCGUAGUCUAACCGCAAGGAGGACGCGGCCGAAGGUGGGUUCAAUGAUUGGGGUUAAGUCGUAACAAGGUAUC